rnacentral:lncRNA from 1 species
UAGUACUUUGGUCAAGAGAGCCCCAACCACACAAAUUUUCAUAAAUGACGACCAAAAUGAGUAUAUUAUAUAUAUUACAAUCAUGCCAUAGUUCACAUCAUCCAGGAAUAUAGAACAACUACAAAAGUGCUGCUAUGAAGUACUAUAACAGCCAUUCACAUCAUCCAGGAACAUAUAAUUAGCUACAAAGAUGAAGCGUUCCCUUUUUCCAACUGCUUGAGCCUAGAGCUCCUGUAAAAGACAGGAAAUGAUCAUUAUCAUGGCUGUGAAUUCAGAAUGAAAGCAAUAUCCUCGAACAUACAACAGCUAGGAAAAGAAUAUUGAACAGAAUAAUAAACAAAUACACAAGCAGCUAGGGGUCGAUCCUAAAGCAUGAGGGCACGGAUAACAGUAGCAACCAUGAGUAAAUAUUAGCAAAUAUUAUAUUGGUGGAAAAAAGUAAAUACCAGAGCUCUAAGAAUACUCCAAGAAAUUGAUGGCUCGCAAUACAAUCAUGCUUUUGACAACAAAUACUACUAGAAUUAAGGCGCAGAACAUAUUCUAAGCAGUGUCAACAUCAUGGCAGUAACAAUUAACAGUAGCAGCUAGCAGGACAUCAAUCAAGCACAACUAAGCUACUAAUGUUCACCAAAUUUAAAAAUUUGUCCAUCUAGUUAACAAAAGUACAACACCACACUUAGGAACUCGGAGCAAGAAAAAGAUCAUGUUGCUUAGGAGCUACCACAAAUGAUACUAAUCAAGGGCAAAAACAAGUUGGUAUUGAUAUCAUUCAUUCACUCGUUCUCAUCAUGAUCAUACAUUUAAUUCAUUAAAGGUUACAGAUUCAUUUCUUGACAUAGCAUUGGAAAAUCACAAGAAUAGUAUAUGAACCAAAGUGUCUAGAUAAGUAGAUAACACAUGGAGGUCACAAUCACAUAGCAAAGGAAGAGUGGGACAGACCGAGGACUUACCCUCUGGACAGAUCAAAGACUUCACGCUUCCUCUUCCUCGGUGGACAAAUCAAUGACUUCACUUCCUCUUCCUCAUGCACCAACAGGAAGACCAUCUCAAACACCUGCAAAACAGCACAACCAUCCACACACUAAGGACUGACUUCAGAUCAGUGGGUCCAUUGACACAAGGCAAUAAGAAACUGUACUCACACAGCGACAAUGACCAGCAUUCCCAACAAUGAUCUGGGUUAGUUUACUGUUUAUUUCCUCUCGGUACAUCAAUUAAUUCAGUACAAAUUGUUAGUCCGCUACUAGCUUGUGUAGGUAAAAAAGGCUAUCAAUCAAUUAAUUCAGUCCGAGCUGUUAACAGCAAAGCUGUGUAGGUACACCACCGUGACUACUAGCUCACAUAUUUGGACUUGCAAUCAAGGAAUCCAGAACUAAUUCCACUGCAUGCUAAUCUGAAGCAUCAGGACAUGCUCUUUCCUACUGCAUAAUUAUAGUAGCUCGUAUGCCUAGAUUUGCAGUCAGGAAAUCACAGAAUUAAGUCCUUACUAACCAGUGUUUAUCCAUUAUGACAUGCUAUUUUCUACUAGUAUGUGUGUUGCUCUGCAUGGAGUACAUAACAUGCUUAAAUUCUCAGAUGAAGGGAUCCGAAAUUAAUUGUAAGGAGUUAACAUAAUAUUUGUACUGAAAUUAGUCCUUUCAUCAUCACAUACUAGAUUAAACUGCCAACUACUGAACUUAGUCCUUGCACAGCUGAAAGUCUGAAACUGGGACUAGAAGAACAGCACCAUCACUGGGCUACCACAAGUCUACUAGUACUAGAUACCUACCGAUUAGAAAAUAAAGCUAAAUUAUACUAGUAGUGGUGGUGUUCAAAUGCCACUGUUCAGGUCAAUGGUAGGGGGCAUGAGCGGUAGCGUGCCGCCGAUGCCGAACUGCUUCGGCCUCUUCUCGAACAGCGAGUUCACCACCUUGUCCUGCAACCAGACACCAACCCAACCCAGUCAGAUCACACGCGCCGCAGAGAUUCCAAGCAGGAGCACAGGGCUGGGUGCAGUACCACUGGCUUCUUCUUAUCUUCCUCGGUUGCAG